rnacentral:rRNA from 1 species
UUACGGCCAUAGCACGUUGAAACGACGGUUCCCGUAAGAUCACUGAAGUUAAGCAGCUAUGAAACUGAUCAGUACCUGGAUGGGUGAUUGCUUGGGAUAUCAAGUGUUGUAA